GCUCACUAUCAUUUGGUUGCCAUUAACAGCACAUGCAGAUUCUAGCACAUCCUUUUCAGAUUCUGGAAGUAAUUCUGUCCAUACUGUAGGAUCAUUCAGAUCAACCCUUACAAGCUUAUAUUUUGGAGCAUUUUUAUUCGUUAUAAAGGUAAACAAUGUAUCAUCGUUGGCAAUGGCAUGAUACUGAGCAUCAAAGUCGUCAAUAAGCUUUGUAAAAG
rnacentral:misc_RNA from 1 species